rnacentral:rRNA from 1 species
UGGGGAAUUUUGGACAAUGGGGGAAACCCUGAUCCAGCCAUCCCGCGUGUGCGAUGAAGGCCUUCGGGUUGUAAAGCACUUUUGGCAGGAAAGAAACGUCGCGGGUUAAUACCCCGCGAAACUGACGGUACCUGCAGAAUAAGCACCGGCUAACUACGUGCCAGCAGCCGCGGUAAUACGUAGGGUGCAAGCGUUAAUCGGAAUUACUGGGCGUAAAGCGUGCGCAGGCGGUUCGGAAAGAAAGAUGUGAAAUCCCAGAGCUUAACUUUGGAACUGCAUUUUUAACUACCGGGCUAGAGUGUGUCAGAGGGAGGUGGAAUUCCGCGUGUAGCAGUGAAAUGCGUAGAUAUGCGGAGGAACACCGAUGGCGAAGGCAGCCUCCUGGGAUAACACUGACACUCAUGCACGAAAGCGUGGGGAGCAAACAGGAUUAGAUACCCUGGUAGUCCACGCCCUAAACGAUGUCAACUAGCUGUUGGGGGCCUUCGGGCCUUGGUAGCGCAGCUAACGCGUGAAGUUGACCGCCUGGGGAGUACGGUCGCAAGAUUAAAACUCAAAUGAAUUGACGGGGUCAUAGCUG